UGGGUCGGCUCAGUGGGUAGAGUUUAGGGCUUGUGACCGUAACGUCCCGGGUUCUAAUCCUGCCAGAGGCAG
rnacentral:tRNA from 1 species